rnacentral:rRNA from 1 species
GAACGGUGAAGCCCAGCUUGCUGGGUGGAUCAGUGGCGAACGGGUGAGUAACACGUGAGCAACCUGCCCCUGACUCUGGGAUAAGCGCUGGAAACGGCGUCUAAUACUGGAUACGAGACGUGAUCGCAUGGUCAACGUUUGGAAAGAUUUUUCGGUUGGGGAUGGGCUCGCGGCCUAUCAGCUUGUUGGUGAGGUAAUGGCUCACCAAGGCGUCGACGGGUAGCCGGCCUGAGAGGGUGACCGGCCACACUGGGACUGAGACACGGCCCAGACUCCUACGGGAGGCAGCAGUGGGGAAUAUUGCACAAUGGGCGCAAGCCUGAUGCAGCAACGCCGCGUGAGGGAUGACGGCCUUCGGGUUGUAAACCUCUUUUAGCAGGGAAGAAGCGAGAGUGACGGUACCUGCAGAAAAAGCACCGGCUAACUACGUGCCAGCAGCCGCGGUAAUACGUAGGGUGCAAGCGUUAUCCGGAAUUAUUGGGCGUAAAGAGCUCGUAGGCGGUUUGUCGCGUCUGCUGUGAAAUCUGGGGGCUCAACCCCCAGCCUGCAGUGGGUACGGGCAGACUAGAGUGCGGUAGGGGAGAUUGGAAUUCCUGGUGUAGCGGUGGAAUGCGCAGAUAUCAGGAGGAACACCGAUGGCGAAGGCAGAUCUCUGGGCCGUAACUGACGCUGAGGAGCGAAAGGGUGGGGAGCAAACAGGCUUAGAUACCCUGGUAGUCCACCCCGUAAACGUUGGGAACUAGUUGUGGGGUCCAUUCCACGGAUUCCGUGACGCAGCUAACGCAUUAAGUUCCCCGCCUGGGGAGUACGGCCGCAAGGUA